rnacentral:lncRNA from 1 species
CGCGAUGCCCUUUCUUUUCGAAUCGACCUCCUCGCGCGUCGAAUCUUGCCAAAACCACAAGGAAUAUAUUACAAUAGGCUAAGGGAAUAUAACCCAAUCGAAAAGAAUCAAAAAAUAUCGAAAAUCACGAAAUUUGCAAAACCCGAGCCCCGGGCCCACUUCUCGAAAAAUUACAAAAGUCACAUCACCGGAUUCCUCGUCUCGCCACGAGUCCGUACAAAUAAAAUUUCCCAAAAUUGGAAUUCAUUUGACCCCUCAAAUCAUCAAAUCUUAUUUUCAAAUCCCUAGGUCUAAAUCCUCAAUAUUUCUACAAUUUUCAUGCUCAAAUCCAUACAUAAUUGAUGUACUUAACUCAAAAUAGGUGGGGAUAACUUACCUUCACAUUGAUGAUGAAAAUACCCUCUUGAAACUCCCCAAAAAUCGUCCAUACUUUGAAGAAAUGAAGAAAAGUGAGCUAAAUCCGUGUAUAAAAGAAUCUGCCUGUGCUUCGUCGAGUUGUACCUUGCACUUGUGUUAUACAAGUUGUAGAUCCUAUUAAAAUU